rnacentral:rRNA from 1 species
AUAAUGGGUCAGCGACUUAUAUUCUGUAGCAAGGUUAACCGAAUAGGGGAGCCGAAGGGAAACCGAGUCUUAACUGGGCGUUAAGUUGCAGGGUAUAGACCCGAAACCCGGUGAUCUAGCCAUGGGCAGGUUGAAGGUUGGGUAACACUAACUGGAGGACCGAACCGACUAAUGUUGAAAAAUUAGCGGAUGACUUGUGGCUGGGGGUGAAAGGCCAAUCAAACCGGGAGAUAGCUGGUUCUCCCCGAAAGCUAUUUAGGUAGCGCCUCGUGAAUUCAUCUCCGGGGGUAGAGCACUGUUUCGGCAAGGGGGUCAUCCCGACUUACCAACCCGAUGCAAACUGCGAAUACCGGAGAAUGUUAUCACGGGAGACACACGGCGGGUGCUAACGUCCGUCGUGAAGAGGGAAACAACCCAGACCGCCAGCUAAGGUCCCAAAGUCAUGGUUAAGUGGGAAACGAUGUGGGAAGGCCCAGACAGCCAGGAUGUUGGCUUAGAAGCAGCCAUCAUUUAAAGAAAGCGUAAUAGCUCACUGGUCGAGUCGGCCUGCGCGGAAGAUGUAACGGGGCUAAACCAUGCACCGAAGCUGCGGCAGCGACGCUGAUGCGUUGUUGGGUAGGGGAGCGUUCU